AGCUAAGUAUACAGAGUCUAGGGGCCGUGGGGAGCUGGAGGAAGAGAUCCAGUGUAAAUAUAACUUCCAAGCUGACCAUUGCUCUAUUGCUCUCUUGGCAGUUUCUUGCUUUCUGUUGCACUGCGUGAAGUGUGAAGCUUAUUCUUGAAGAGACCUCUAGCUGGCUCUACAGUGGAAAUGGAUCCAGAAGUUUCUAGAUAGUUUUGAGGAGAGUUCAGAAGGGAGGAGAGCCCAGCAUCGUUUGAAAGAGUGUAGCCUAGAACUCAACUGGAUGGAUCCACACCCUGAAUUACACAGAUGCGUGGCACUUUGAUGAGCUUGAGAGCAGCUGAAGAAACAGUAUGGAGGGAGCCUGGAGGAACUGCUUACAUAGGAAGAACCCAGGACAAGGCCUUGGAUGCCGGCAGCUCAUCUGUGAACUGCCGAGCCGGAGACCAGAGUGAGCCGUCAGAGUUCAGUUAGCCUCAUGAGUUCCAGAAGGACAAAAUCUGCAAGUGGGAAGCAGGACCUGGUGGUGGGAGAGCAGGCCUGUAGAGAAGAUGGAGUUUGUGGCCCUCAUGGAAUGAAGAAAAAGUAUUUGAGCAUUAGACCUCCCACUUUCAAUGGUUUGUACAAAGACCUCUAUUUCUAGAAGAAAAACAUCUAUCAUGUCCCGUUCAUCCCAAAGCACUGAGCAGUCCAGAGAGGACCAAACAAACGUGAUCCAUGAGGAACAGCGAUGAACAAGGUUGCGGGGGAGAAGCACACUCUGCUGGGGCAGAGCCUACACUCGCUGCCCUGAGGACCCUACCCUGUGUCAGGGUCCUCCCUGGGUCUUUCUUCAGCAAACCAAGCAUGAUUAAAGUGGGAUUUUAACAAUACUCAACUGCC